CGAAAGGAAGAUUAAUACCGCAUAAGAUUGUAAUAUCGCAUGAUAUAGCAAUUAAAGGAGCAAUUCGCUAUAAGAUGGACCCGCGUCGCAUUAGCUAGUUGGUGAGGUAACGGCCUACCAAGUCGACGAUCAGUAGCCGACCUGAGGAGGGUGAUCGGCCACAGUUGGGACUGAGACACCGGACCCAAACCUCCGUACGGGGAGGCAGCAGGUGGGGAAUUAGUUGGGCAAGUGGGGGAAACCCUGACCCAGCAACGCCGCGUGAAGGAAGAAGGCCCUCGGGUUGUAAACUUCUUUUAGCAGGGACGAAUUCUGACGGUACCUGCAGAAAAGCAACGGCUAACUACGUG
rnacentral:rRNA from 1 species